rnacentral:rRNA from 1 species
AGAGUUUGAUCCUGGCUCAGGACGAACGCUGGCGGCGUGCCUAAUACAUGCAAGUCGAACGCUGAAGAGAGGAGCUUGCUCUUCUUGGAUGAGUUGCGAACGGGUGAGUAACGCGUAGGUAACCUGCCUUGUAGCGGGGGAUAACUAUUGGAAACGAUAGCUAAUACCGCAUAACAAUGGAUGACUCAUGUCAUUUAUUUGAAAGGGGCAAUUGCUCCACUACAAGAUGGACCUGCGUUGUAUUAGCUAGUAGGUGAGGUAACGGCUCACCUAGGCGACGAUACAUAGCCGACCUGAGAGGGUGAUCGGCCACACUGGGACUGAGACACGGCCCAGACUCCUACGGGAGGCAGCAGUAGGGAAUCUUCGGCAAUGGGGGCAACCCUGACCGAGCAACGCCGCGUGAGUGAAGAAGGUUUUCGGAUCGUAAAGCUCUGUUGUAAGUCAAGAACGAGUGUGAGAGUGGAAAGUUCACACUGUGACGGUAGCUUACCAGAAAGGGACGGCUAACUACGUGCCAGCAGCCGCGGUAAUACGUAGGUCCCGAGCGUUGUCCGGAUUUAUUGGGCGUAAAGCGAGCGCAGGCGGUUUGAUAAGUCUGAAGUUAAAGGCUGUGGCUCAACCAUAGUUCGCUUUGGAAACUGUCAAACUUGAGUGCAGAAGGGGAGAGUGGAAUUCCAUGUGUAGCGGUGAAAUGCGUAGAUAUAUGGAGGAACACCGGUGGCGAAAGCGGCUCUCUGGUCUGUAACUGACGCUGAGGCUCGAAAGCGUGGGGAGCGAACAGGAUUAGAUACCCUGGUAGUCCACGCCGUAAACGAUGAGUGCUAGGUGUUGGAUCCUUUCCGGGAUUCAGUGCCGCAGCUAACGCAUUAAGCACUCCGCCUGGGGAGUACGACCGCAAGGUUGAAACUCAAAGGAAU